CAGGGAAUAGUUUAAUUAAAAUAUUAAUCUUGGGGUUUAAUGAUGGGAUUUUCCUUUCUCUGA
rnacentral:tRNA from 1 species